GUCAAUUGUUUAAAUACCUAUGUAUUUUCUUCUUGAAACGACGUUCAUUUUUCCUUAUUUAUUAUUCAGGACAGUUACCUAUUCCAGUUACCGGCGUUAUACUUUUCAAAUACCUAAACAUCCGAUAAACGCUGGGAACAAAACUGAAGACGCCAUUCUUGUAAUGGAAGUCGUGUCUAUCUACGAUGUGACAUUGUUUCGUAAGUGAUUUGCAACAACAAAAUUGUCCAGAUGGACCUAAUUUGAAAACCAGAAAGCAAAGCAAAGAUUGCCUCUGAGAGCGCUCGUGUGAUUUUCGUAAUAUAACCUAUCGUAAAAUCGGUAGAAAACAAAAUGACGUGGAACUCAGAAAUAUUAUAUGGCCAAUGUUCCCUCUUUUCUCGUCAACUUAUGGAUGAAUCUAGUGCUUUUUUACUACGAUCCAGUGUACGAUCAGUCUAUAAAGGAUGUUUAACAGGCCUACACAUCGUUAUUGUGCAUGAACUGAGUUUUAAACUUGGAAAAUUUAUUGCACAAGCAAGCAAGCCAACAACCCUGCUGAUAUGAUCCCCGGGUACCCGAUAAGCAUAAACUGUUUACCGGAACAAAAUAAAUUGGCUCUAUAUUAUGAAGAUACCAUGACAAAUGUAUUUUGAAGAAACAUUCACUCAUUGGACCAUUUAUUGUCUUGAAUAAAAGAAUGAUAAAUAAAUAUAUAAACAUUUUUUUGAAGAACUGACAUUCCCCCGCAGCGUCAACAUUCCCGCCUUCACUGUACAUCUACUAACUUUUCCCACUUAAGACAGGUACUCCAAUGAAUAUUGCCCAUAUAAAAAUUUUAAGUUGUUAAUGAAUGUAGGUACACAAAUGA